rnacentral:rRNA from 1 species
CAGCAGCCGCGGUAAUACGUAGGGUGCAAGCGUUAAUCGGAAUUACUGGGCGUAAAGCGUGCGCAGGCGGUUUUGUAAGACAGAGGUGAAAUCCCCGGGCUCAACCUGGGAACUGCCUUUGUGACUGCAAGGCUAGAGUACGGCAGAGGGGGAUGGAAUUCCGCGUGUAGCAGUGAAAUGCGUAGAUAUUCGGAGGAACACCGAUGGCGGAGGCAAUCCCCUGGGCCUGUACUGACGCUCAUGCACGAAAGCGUGGGGAGCAAACAGGAUUAGAUACCCCGGUAGUCCCUGUCUCUUAUAC